AGGCGAAGACACUCUUUCCCUACACGACGCUCUUCCGAUCUGACCGAUAGUGAACAAGUACCGUGAGGGAAAGGUGAAAAGAACCCCGGGAGGGGAGUGAAAUAGAACCUGAAACCGUUGGUUUACAAACAGUCAAAGCGUCGUAUUGCAACCGCAAGGUUGCUUUGCCGCGAUGGCGUGCCUUUUGAAGAAUGAGCCUACGAGUUACGGUUAGUGGCGAGGUUAACCCGAGAGGGGUAGCCGGAGCGAAAGCGAGUCUGAACAGGGCGUUCAGUCGCUAGCUGUAGACCCGAAGCCGAGUGAUCUAGCCAUGGGCAGGUUGAAGCGGGGGUAAGACCCCGUGGAGGACCGAACACACGUCAGUUGAAAAUGGCGGUGAUGACCUGUGGUUAGGGGCGAAAGACCAAUCAAACUCGGCGAUAGCUGGUUCUCCUCGAAAUGCAUUUAGGUGCAGCGUCAUGCGUUCAGUACCGGAGGUAGAGCACUGGAUGGGUUAGGGGGCCUACAAGCUUACCGACCCCAGCCAAACUCCGAAUUACGGUACUCCAGAGCAUGGCAGUGAGACCACGGGGGAUGAGCUUCGUUGGUCGAAAGGGAAACAGCCCAGAUCAUCAGCUAAGGCCCCAAAUUCAGGACUAAGUGGAAAACGAUGUGGAUUUGCACAGACAGCCAGGAGGUUGGCUUAGAAGCAGCCAUCCUUAAAAGAGUGCGUAACAGCUCACUGGUCGAGUGAAUCUGCGCGGACAAUUUAACGGGGCUCAAGUCCUGAGCCGAAGCUAUGGAUUUCAACACUUUGUGUUGGAGUGGUAGAGGAGCGUUGAUGGAGCGACUGAAGCGGCGGGAUAACCCGACGUGGAGUUCCAUCAAGUGAGAAUGUAGGCAUGAGUAGCGAGAGAGGAGUGAGAAACUCCUCCGCCGUAAGCCCAAGGGUUCCUGGGGAAGGCUAAUCCUCCCAGGGUAAGUCGGGACCUAAGACGAGGCCGAGAGGCGUAGUCGAUGGACAACUGGUUGAUAUUCCAGUACCGCCAUAUACGCGCCAAGCUCAAUAUCGACAAAGUGGGGGCUGCCUUCGGGCGAACCUGCCUAGUUGGUUGCGGGUAACUGAAGGGGGACGCAGAAGGAUAGGUGAACCGGGGCGAUGGUAGUCCCCGGGUAAGUGUGUAGGAGGAUCCCGAUGAGAGUUGGGGUCAUAUACUCUGAGACACGAUGCCGAGCACAUUUGUGCGAAGUCACUAAUUCCAUGCUGCCAAGAAAAGCCCAGCAGUGAGUAGAUAUGGCGCCCGUACCCCAAACCGACGCAGGUGGGCGGGUAGAGAAUACCAAGGCGAUCGGGAGAACUAUGGUUAAGGAACUCGGCAAAAUGCCUCCGUAACUUCGGAAGAAGGAGGACCCACGUAGGGUGAAGCGACUUCGCGUCGCCAGCCUGAAUGGGUGGCACAGAGCAGGGGGUAGCGACUGUUUAACAAAAACACAGCAGCGUGCGAAGCCGCAAGGCGCUGUAUACGCUGUGACGCCUGCCCAAUGCUGGAAGGUCACGAGGAUCGGUUAGUCGAAAGGCGAAGCUGUGAAUCUAAGCCCCAGUGAAUGGCGGCCGUAACUAUAACGGUCCUAAGGUAGCGAAAUUCCUUGUCGGGUAAGUUCCGACCUGCACGAAUGGCGUAACGACUUCCCCGCUGUCUCAACCAUAGACCCGGCGAAAUUGAAGUACGAGUAAAGAUGCUCGUUUGCUGCGGAAGGACGGAAAGACCCCGUGGACCUUUACUAUAACUUGAUGUUGAGCUUUGAAAUGGGCUGUGUAGGAUAGGUGGGAGACUGUGAAGCCGGUGCGCUAGCACUGGUGGAGUCAUUGGUGAAAUACCACCCUGCGUAUUUUGGAGCUCUAACUUUGGUCCGUAAUCCGGAUCAGGGACAGCGUCAGGCGGGUAGUUUGACUGGGGC
rnacentral:rRNA from 1 species